UGGCGUUCCGUACAACUAUGCUAUUCACCAUACUAUCACUACUUUGAUUAAUUGUCAUUUGAACUGCACGACGUUUGUUAAAUUCUAUACUUACUUGGACUAGUGAUUUUUCCAGCAUACUGUUGUAGAAAUGAAAUGCCUACGUUAUCCUAGAAACGUGCCUGUUAUUUUCUGUAUUCAGUUUACAAAUGAAUCUAUUCCUACCUUACUAACCCUACUCCAACUUUAUGUAAGGUCAUGGUCAUGGUAAGGGGUUUCUCAGAUUUGGGAUGAGUUUGUCAAUCAAAUUCUAUUAUAAUGUGAACUGCAGCUACGAUUUUUGGAGAAAUUUCCUUUGUACUUGUCUCAUUCAAAAAUUGUGUUAACUGUUGAAAAGCAGGAUGACUGCAGAUAAGCUGUUGGCAUUUUGACAUUGUCUACACUGCUGGCUUGUCUUUCUGGCAACAAGGCUGCAUCCCCCGGUGGAUGAUUCAUGGUUGAUCUUCCACUGCGCAGCAGAAGUAUUUGACACCUGCCCAGUUAGUCAUGGUUCUGGUAUGGUGAUAUCCAAAAAUGUUUAAAAACAAGUUAAACAAAUACUUCAUCAUCUAGCAGAUUGGUGAUAUACUGUGUAUUGAUGAUGCUGGUUUAGGAUUACUACGACAAAGGAUACAAGAUUAUGAUUUCAAUUUGGAAUUGCAAUUAUUCUGGGAAACAUGUCUUCUGUAAACAUCUGUUUUACUUGCUGGGUUUUAAAGUAUUUUUGUUAUUGUAUUUCAAGUUGGCAUAAGGAGGAAUCCUAUAAUAAAGCUGCUUGUGUUUUUUGUUCUGUUUUUGGUAAAUGUUGAAGGUUUGACAGAUGUUAAUGUGUGUGCUGAUGACAUUUAGGACCCCAAACUAUGUACGUACAUGAAAUUGCGAAACAUACUGUCGCGCCAUCUGGAAUCAUAUCCAAAAAUACCAAUAAAAAUACACAUAAAUUAAUUAAAAAAUUCACCCAAAAAUAAAAAUCUAAUGAAAAUAAAAGGAAUUAUACUGCGUGGAUUAAACUAAGAAACAAACAAUAAAUAAUUGUUGAAAUACGAAGUGGCGGCAGCGCCUUGGCCCAAGAAUAGAAAAAAAGGAAAAAGCUGAAAAUGAGAUAAGGUACCGUAAUAUACUAGCGCGCCAGAACAUUGAACGAAUGAACUGGCGGCGCCAGCUGAGACUACUUCCAAACGGCAGAAAUGCAAACUAUCGAAGUCCUCAAUUCCUCAUCGCGUGGUAGAAAAAAAAGCCUGCAUCUGCCGCCUGUCAGGCAUUCGAAGAUAGUUAACAUAAGGACUCUCAAUGCCUAGUUUUUUCAUUUGAAUUUAGUUUCUCUUCGAUAGUGCUUUCAGGAUGUCUGUGGAUAACUGGGUUGGCAUUUAGACAAGCCUAUGCUAUUGGCUCGUCCUUCAGUCUGUGAGGUUACAUUCUGGUCUGGUGAAUGAUUCAUGAUGGGUUGAUCCUCCAUUGCACGGGCAGUUGCAUGUGCCACCUGAUCAGUAAUUCAUGGUGCUGGCUUGAUGGUGUUUUAAGGGGACUGGUUUGGAAACACGUUGGAUCACUUCACUACCAAUCAGACUGGUGUCAUGCUGUCUAUUGAAAGCUGUGCCUUCUAUAUAUUAAAGGUAGGCUGAAAGAGGCACCUGGUAAUAAAACAACAGUUUUUCAUCAGGUUUGUGGUGAAUUGGUGAAGCUGUAGUAGACUACCAAUUGAGGCUGCAGGGAUAAGAAAUGCUGUGUUCAUCCUAAUUCUGCAGGCUCAAGAGGUGCUCUUAUAUCAGCAGUUGAUGGUCGUUAUUAACGCGGCGCUAACAUGUUCGACGUCUUUUACCGUGGAAUUACGACUUCCGCUGGGCUUGUGUUUUGAUCCUUGGUAACAUUUGCAGUUCGUUGCUGUGGGUUUGCCGUUGAAAGAUUCUGUCAGCAAUUGAUUGUCUAAUUGGGACGAUACUGCCGCGGCGCUGACAUAAGCAAUGUCUUCUACUUUGGGAUUAUGGGUGUUUUGGGGUGGCCGGUUAUCCAGCUGAAAAUAUUUUUCGCCUCUUCGCUGGCGCUACCGUUACAUACUAUGUUUAGAAUUGGUUAGUGAAUUCCAAUGGAUGAUUCAGUUUUGUGGUAAUCAGAAAUUUUACCACAAUUAGCAGUAAAAAUUCGUUAUUCAUCACAACAAAUUCAUCUUCCUUAAAUUGACUAAAAAGGGUUUGAUCAUUCUGGGGCUAUAUCUAUCAAAGAUGCAAUGCUCUAAUGACGAAGACGACAAAGCUCGUGUUAUCUCCUUGCUGGUUAAUUGAGGCAGGGUAAUUGAGGCAGUGUCUCCUCCUGCCUUGGUUGACGGCAGCUUUAGAAUGGGUUAUUUUGGCCGUCUAAAGUUGCAAAUUAUUGAAUUGUAUUGAGAAAUGUCAAUACAAAAUUUUUUUUAACAAA